rnacentral:rRNA from 1 species
ACGACUUGGGCACUGUCUCGGCCAUGAGCUCGGUGAAAUUGUGGUAUCGGUGAUGACGCCGAUUACCCGCAGCGGGACGAAAAGACCCCGUGAACCUUUACUACAACUUUACAUUGGCUUUAGCUGUAUCAUGUGUAGGAUAGGCGGGAGACUUUGAAGCGGCGUCGCCAGGCGUUGUGGAGUCACCCUUGAAAUACCGCCCUUGAUACAGGUGAAGUCUAACCCUGAAAGGGGAACAGUGUAUGGUGGGUAGUUUGACUGGGGCGGUCGCCUCCUAAAGAGUAACGGAGGCUCCCAAAGGUACCCUCAGCACGGUUGGCAAUCGUGCGUAGAGUGUAAAAGCAUAAGGGUGCUUGACUGCGAGACAUACAGGUCGAGCAGGCACGAAAGUGGGGUUUAGUGAUCCGGUGGCACCGCAUGGAAGGGCCAUCGCUCAAAGGAUAAAAGGUACUCCGGGGAUAACAGGCUGAUACCCCCCAAGAGUCCACAUCGACGGGGGUGUUUGGCACCUCGAUGUCGGCUCAUCGCAACCUGGGGCUGAAGUCGGUCCCAAGGGUUGGGCUGUUCGCCCAUUAAAGCGGUACGCGAGCUGGGUUCAGAACGUCGUGAGACAGUUCGGUCCCUAUCCGUCGUGGGCGUAGGAAAUUUGAGAGGAGCUGUCCUUAGUACGAGAGGACCGGGAUGGACAUACCUCUGGUGUACCAGUUGUCGUGCCAACGGCAUAGCUGGGUAGCUAUGUAUGGACGGGAUAAGUGCUGAAAGCAUCUAAGCAUGAAGCCCCCCUCAAGAUGAGAUUUCCCAACUUCGGUUAUAAGAUCCCUCAGAGAUGAUGAGGUUAAUAGGUUCGAGGUGGAAGCGUGGUGACACGUGGAGCUGACGAAUACUAAUCGAUCGA